GACGAACGCUGGCGGCGUGCCUAAUACAUGCAAGUCGAACGAACUCUGGUAUUGAUUGGUGCUUGCAUCAUGAUUUACAUUUGAGUGAGUGGCGAACUGGUGAGUAACACGUGGGAAACCUGCCCAGAAGCGGGGGAUAACACCUGGAAACAGAUGCUAAUACCGCAUAACAACUUGGACCGCAUGGUCCGAGUUUGAAAGAUGGCUUCGGCUAUCACUUUUGGAUGGUCCCGCGGCGUAUUAGCUAGAUGGUGAGGUAACGGCUCACCAUGGCAAUGAUACGUAGCCGACCUGAGAGGGUAAUCGGCCACAUUGGGACUGAGACACGGCCCAAACUCCUACGGGAGGCAGCAGUAGGGAAUCUUCCACAAUGGACGAAAGUCUGAUGGAGCAACGCCGCGUGAGUGAAGAAGGGUUUCGGCUCGUAAAACUCUGUUGUUAAAGAAGAACAUAUCUGAGAGUAACUGUUCAGGUAUUGACGGUAUUUAACCAGAAAGUCACGGCUAACUACGUGCCAGCAGCCGCGGUAAUACGUAGGUGGCAAGCGUUGUCCGGAUUUAUUGGGCGUAAAGCGAGCGCAGGCGGUUUUUUAAGUCUGAUGUGAAAGCCUUCGGCUCAACCGAAGAAGUGCAUCGGAAACUGGGAAACUUGAGUGCAGAAGAGGACAGUGGAACUCCAUGUGUAGCGGUGAAAUGCGUAGAUAUAUGGAAGAACACCAGUGGCGAAGGCGGCUGUCUGGUCUGUAACUGACGCUGAGGCUCGAAAGUAUGGGUAGCAAACAGGAUUAGAUACCCUGGUAGUCCAUACCGUAAACGAUGAAUGCUAAGUGUUGGAGGGUUUCCGCCCUUCAGUGCUGCAGCUAACGCAUUAAGCAUUCCGCCUGGGGAGUACGGCCGCAAGGCUGAAACUCAAAGGAAUUGACGGGGGCCCGCACAAGCGGUGGAGCAUGUGGUUUAAUUCGAAGCUACGCGAAGAACCUUACCAGGUCUUGACAUACUAUGCAAAUCUAAGAGAUUAGACGUUCCCUUCGGGGACAUGGAUACAGGUGGUGCAUGGUUGUCGUCAGCUCGUGUCGUGAGAUGUUGGGUUAAGUCCCGCAACGAGCGCAACCCUUAUUAUCAGUUGCCAGCAUUAAGUUGGGCACUCUGGUGAGACUGCCGGUGACAAACCGGAGGAAGGUGGGGAUGACGUCAAAUCAUCAUGCCCCUUAUGACCUGGGCUACACACGUGCUACAAUGGAUGGUACAACGAGUUGCGAACUCGCGAGAGUAAGCUAAUCUCUUAAAGCCAUUCUCAGUUCGGAUUGUAGGCUGCAACUCGCCUACAUGAAGUCGGAAUCGCUAGUAAUCGCGGAUCAGCAUGCCGCGGUGAAUACGUUCCCGGGCCUUGUACACACCGCCCGUCACACCAUGAGAGUUUGUAACACCCAAAGUCGGUGGGGUAACCUUUUAGGAACCAGCCGCCUAAGGUGGGACAGAUGAUUAGGGUGAAG
rnacentral:rRNA from 1 species